AAAAGUAUUAGGCUACCCUCUCCUGACAGUUUUGAAAGUUCAAAAACCUAAAAUGCUCAUGUCACAAAAGUCAUGUUUACCUCAUUAAAGGCGUUAGCCCGGCAAAUAAGAGCACCGUGCUGUGUCACCCGUGACUGCGUCCUACUGAGCACGUGUAGGAUGAUGUCAUUGUGCAGCAAGGCAGGCCUAGGAUAAGCGAAGCCUAUCAUUGGAUGAGAAGGAAGGGUAGGCGGGGGAAAAGUCUGGGGGCGGGGAGAAGGGGGGAGCAGGAGAAGCAGGCGAUCAAGAUGGCGUCUACAGAGGAGGAUGGUUCAGAUUUAGGUGAACUAGAUCGAUUUUAUCUUAUCCAGAUCUAACAGAAAAUUGCUCACAGUGAUAACACAGCACCGAAACCACGUUGGUUACAGCAUAAGGUUAAAUGAAGCCAACGGCAGCCUUGUCGCCAGAUGGGAAGAGCCGAUUGGGAAUGCUUUGUUAUAAGGGAUAACGGCUAAUAUUGAUUUCCAACUUGCCAGAUCUACAAUCACCAAGGAGACAGACUUCUGGGCAUGUCUCUGGGAGGGUUUCUACAAUGAGUUAAUUGAAAUAGGCAGUCACAAUCUAAAUGUGGAGCGCACCAUUCCAUAGACUGGGGCCCUGCACUGAAUAAAGGCAAAGUGUACAGAGA